rnacentral:lncRNA from 1 species
ACUAACCCUAAGGGCACCCAAAGAAAUGAAAUUUGGCAAAUGGAUGUUCUCCAUUUUACAGAGUUUGGAGAAGAAAAGCUGUGGGUUCCUUCCAGGCUGAUAAAGAUCAGACAUGACAAGGGGAGACCUCCUGAAGUCCUCGGCAACACAGAAGAAAAGGGAGACUAAGACAAUCAACAAAUAGGUGAUGUAUAUAUGAGGAUGUCUAGGUCUCCGUGUAUGAACUGGCUAAAGUGUCUAUAAACAGCCAGUAACAUUUUGAGUACGAAUUUCUCAUAACUUGUUAUUACAUGCAUCCUGUAAAAUGGCAUGUAUGACAAAAUUAUGUUACAGUUUGAUUAUAUGAUCAAACUAACCUGAAGAAAGGCAGUCACCUUUCUUUGUUGAUCUUUAUUUUCUAAGCUGUGCACCCUGCUUACUCCAUGUGGAUGCGCUUACAGAACUAUAUGAUGCUUGUAAAGUUUGUGUGCUGCAGGAUGAAAGAAGAGAAAGACAGCCCUGAAAUGUUCCACACUCUGGGAUGCUGAGAUUCCGGGACCUUCCAGUCCAACUUCGUGUUUGAUUCUCCCUCAAUGACACUGAAGCUGCUUCAUUUAAAGGCCUGCUUUCAGAACUUUUCCAGAAUGGCCAGCUUACUUAUCCAGCCCUUCAGACUGUCAUAGUCAAGAGGUCAGCUAAGCGAUGAACUUUCUCAGCACAGAGUGACUGGCAGGCAAAUCCCAGCUAGCUCUACUUCGACAAAGCCAACUCUUCCUAAUUCCCCUUGGGCCCCAGAAGGGAAUUCUUCACCCCAAUUCAGUUGGAAACAGACGAGGAAGAUCGUCGUCCCAGUUCCUUCGGUUGGGGUGGAUGUUUCUGGUUAUUCUAAGAGCUGGGGAUAUAUUUUCUUUCAAGGGAUACUAUACAAAUGUAGCUUUGGGCAGGGGGAACUAGAGAAUGUAAACUCAGGGAUUGCUACCUUUCCUUUCCUCUUUUCUAUCCUUCUUAGUUUAUAAAAAAGGGGGGGGUGUGAUAUAGUAAUACAUAGAAGUUAGAGAAAUAGACAAACAGGGAUAGAUUAGCAAACUUACUCUUAAACACAAUUUUACAGCUAUAUCUUACAUUGAUAGAAAUGUUUGUAAUUGAUACAAAGUUGAAGCUGCAAUCUUUUCAUUGGUAUAGAAUGCAUUUUACACAAAUGUGAGGUUUUCAUUGGUGUACUUUCUUAUUGAUUUAUAAUUGAGAUUAAUAUUGCUACUUUAACAUAAGCAUUGUGCCUCCACUAUGCAUAUAAGAAUACAAGUCUUAGACCCAGUCCUAUAACUGCUAUUAUACAUUAUUUUUAGUUGAUUAACCAGUACCAGCUAAAGGCCAGAUAGCAAAAUCAUGGUUCUGAGUCAGUUUAGAUGGGUUUUGGAAAUACUUCAAUUAGAGAGGGCCAACGGUAGUCUAUGCUUAACAGUUCAGAAACGCCUAUGUAGACAGGAAAUCUUCAAGGGCGUCAGAAGUCCACAGAAUAACCCAUUCAUGGACAUUUAGAAGGUCUAGAUGAUUUGACUAGAGACCUGUCUGCCCCUGACAGGACCCCUUAGACUCAAAGAAGAAAUUGAGCAUCAGUGGAGUUGCUCAAAUCGUGGUGACACAGCCACUGAGCAAAUUGCUUCAAUUCAUCUACAGACAAAACACUGUUCAGAAAAGGACAAAUUAUGCAGAAUAGUUGACUGAUAAUCUCUGCCAAGGCAGGGUGAUCAACCCUUCAAAAUCUGCAUUACAAAGGUCUGUCAGAUGAUCCUGGGCCAGAAGGCUGAAGACUGAUGCUCUGACAUAUUAAGGAAUAGGGGGACUGUCCAGGUGAUCAGCAGUCUCUAUAAAUUGGCUAAGCUUGGAAGCCAUGUUUUGUGCUUCCCAUAUUUUCAGGUAAUAUUAAUCAUUCUUGGACUUCUGAUGUGGUUGGAGACUGGUAGUCUCAUAGACAACCCAAGCGGUUUAGUAUUGAGAGAGAUGAUAAAUCUGUUAGGGUGGUUUUCAGGUGGCAUAGGAUCUAGAACCAGGAUAUAGUCAGGUAUAGUUUUUAGUAUAGAUGACAUGGUAAAUGAACAAAAUUGAUGGACUGGGUGAUGAGUGUAUUGUUGGUCUUAUAAAUUGCAGAAUGGUAAUGAUACUUAGUUCACGUAUGUAUAGGGAAAAGGUUUUUUAACUGGACAAAAAGGGGGAAAUGUUGUGGUUUGCCUUGGAGUUCUCUCUGAAUUUGUAAAAUAAAAGCAAGAGCUUGAGAUUUGGGCAGAGGGAGGAGUCGGGAGCGAGAGGGGAGGAGUCAGGAGAGGGGAGGAGUCAGGAGGGGGAGGAGUCAGGGGAGGAGAAAGGAAAGAACUAGGAGAGAGUUGUCCUGGGAGAAGGAGAAGCUGGAGACCUGGCAAAUAAAAGGUGCAAGGGAUGAGGGAUUUGGGAGCUAGGAAUAGGACAGUGUAGGGAGGAUCUGCCCAAUCUAGACGCUAGAUUGUUUUCAUAUUAAUUGAGUUGCGUUUUCUUUGUACUGGCCGAUUCGGGUUGGAAAGGAAACUGCAAAAAACUGCAACAUUUAACUUUCAAUGAACCUGCUGAGCUUGUGACAGAUAACAUUGGGCUAGGUAAUUACUCCUAAUGGAUAUGCAUGUAAACAUUCCGCUCUGAACUUACUCAAUAUAUGGUUUGAAUUUAUAUGUAAACUUGUGAACUUCUUAUGAUGUUAUCACGUAUUGAGAAACACGUAUAAGUGCUGAGGACGAAAAGAAGGGAUCCCUUUUUCUUACAGAACUCAAGAAGAACUGAGAAGGAAAGGCAUAGCAGUGGGAGUGAGAGCAUUAUGACUGGAACAUCAGAGCAGGCAGAAGGAGCAAGAUGAGGAGAAGAAAAGAGCAGAGAGACCUUUUCAGAGACCAAGAGAAAUCUUUCUUAGAGAACAUUUUGGAGAGUCUUUAGAAUUUUUUGAAAGGAGAAUUUUUGUAGAAACAUGGUGGAGAACUAAGGAACUUAGAAAUAAAGGCUAAAAUAACUUUUGAACAUGUCCAUUGUUCUUCCUGUGACUUCAACUAGCAUGCUGGCAGCUAGAGCUGAGCAGUUUCUGUAAAGACAGAACAAAGGCUGCAUUACUCAAUCACCCUGCUUUGCUCUGAGGUGCUAAACGCCAGAGACUACAGUUUCUGGCCUCAGAAGAACUCAAAAGGCAGGUCAGCUACCGCAGCAGAGUGCCUUAGACUUAGAAAGGUAAACAUUUUCCUAUCCAACCGCAACCCUAAAUAUCUCGCCCCUGCUGAGGCUCUUCUUCCUUGGCUUACAAGAGAGAAAAAGAGAGAAAGAACAGCCACGAAGGCCCCAUGCAGUGGUUGCUUGAAAGCCUUGAGUUCAAAGCAGAAGAAUCGAAUGACCUUUGGAGACGAUGCACUGUGACCUCACAUCUCGCCAUGCUAGGCCCCCAGCCUUUGUCUUUCCAGGAGACCAGCAGAACAGGCCUUCUCACAGGACUUGUUCACACAGCAGAAGGGACUUGGCCAAAGCACAGGUGCUCUCUGCAUCUUCCGGUGAAUCUCCCACCUGGCUCUAUGUGUUGCUUGUAAGGUUUACAGAAUAAAGCAUAGAAGACCAGGAGGCCAACCUUGACAGGAUUUACCUUCAGAGAUGCUGAGGUACUGAGACCUGCGGUUCCAGCUCCCUGACUGAUCCUGCCCCAAACUGAUGCUGUUUCCAGAGAAUUGUGUCUACAACGGUUUCAGGAAGGAAUGCUAAUCCCAGAUAUCCUUGGUCCAUCCUUUAGACUGGUCCAGUCAGGACUUUAAUUAAACCCUAAACUUUCUCAACACACAGAGAUUGGACAACAAAUCCAGCUACAGUUAGCUUUCGUAAGAUUAACCAAUUUUUAAUGUUCUUGGACCCUAAAAAGGAAUUUUUUUGCAAUUAUCAGAAGACCAUCAUCUCAGGCCCUUAAGCUGGGGGUAAAUGGUUCUGGUCAUUUUAUGAGUUAUAGAUAUGCUGUCAUUUUAGAGGAUGAUUGAAAGUGGAGAAAAUGAAACAGGGAGCCUGGCCUCAGGCAAUUCUCUCUUCCCUUUCCUCUCCUACAUACUUCCUUCUUUCCUAAAGGGAAGGGGGUGGAGAAGAAAAAAUAAGGACACAGAAAUAUUGUAAGAAAUUAGAUAAUUGGGGUAGAUUAUUAAACCUACACUUAAACCGAAAAAUAUUUUAUACCCAUAAUCGUACAUUGGUAGAGACCUUUAAACUUUGAUGAAAUAUUAUAUUUUGUUACAUUGGUAUUUUGUGUAUUAAUACAGGUGUAAACUUUACAUUAAAUCUUUUUUUUCAUGUUUAUUAACUUGGGUAUUUCUUAUUUACAUUUCGAUUGUUAUUCCCUUUCCCGGUUUCUGGGCCAACAUCCCCCUAACUCCUUCAACUCCCCUUUUGUAUGGGUGUUCCCCUCCCUAUCCUCCCCC